GACUGCAGAACGCGAAGAACCUUACCUGGCCUUGACAUCCAUGGAAUCCCGAAGAGAUUUGGGAGUGCCGCAAGGAACCAUGAGACAGGUGCUGCAUGGCUGUCGUCAGCUCGUGUCGUGAGAUGUUGGGUUAAGUCCCGCAACGAGCGCAACCCUUGUCCUUAGUUGCCAUCAUUAAGUUGGGAACUCUAAGGAGACCGCCGGUGACAAACCGGAGGAAGGUGGGGAUGACGUCAAGUCAUCAUGGCCUUUAUGGCCAGGGCUACACACGUGCUACAAUGGCAGGUACAGAGGGAAGCCAACCGGCGACGGGGAGCUAAUCCCAGAAAGCCUGUCUUAGUCCGGAUUGCAGUCUGCAACUCGACUGCAUGAAGUUGGAAUCGCUAGUAAUCGCAGAUCAGCAUUGCUGCGGUGAAUACGUUCCCGGGUCUUGUACACACCG
rnacentral:rRNA from 1 species